UAUUGACAAUACUUUUGAUCAUGUAGUGGAAACUUCAUCGGAUUGACGAAAAUAUUGUCAAAAAAUCAAAACUGCUCAUCAAUCCGACAAUACUUUCUCUCCAGAGAGAAAACUGUCACAUAUAUGCAAUGAAAACAUCUCUCAAUAUUCGCGACUACGAAGUUGAGUUUGACAGCUUAUGUGUGUGAAGUGGAAGUAAACAAGCAAGAGAAAAAAGUGAUAAAUUUUCAAACGUACCGUUUUCCUCGAUUUUAGUUUUGCUGUUUGAAAUGGAGCCUUCAAAAGAUGUUACGUACACUGUGUUGAUGAACUUGUCGGAAGAUUUUAGCUACGCUGCCGGAGGAAACCGUUUGGAUAGUUGGAGUAGAUGAGAUCUACAAUUAUGGAUUUGGCUUAUUUUCGACUCCAAGUGUCGAGCCGCACACAAUCAAAGUUUGUACUAGAAGUGAACGCUCUGCUUGGUUAUUUGCAUGUACUUGCAAAACCAGUGAAGGAAAAUGCAAACAUGUGAUAGCUGUUUUGAAUCAUUUAUUGAGAAACUCAAAGCUCAAAAGAACGAUUAACAUCCAACGAGAUUAAAACGAGCGGCAGUCGGAUAUUCCGAACUGAUAACAUCAAGUUUGAGGACAUUUGACAUUUAUUUAUUAAUUAUGUUUUAUUGUCAGAUGAAUAAAUUUAAUAUACAUAAA